rnacentral:rRNA from 1 species
UACGAAGGGGGCUAGCGUUGCUCGGAAUUACUGGGCGUAAAGCGCACGUAGGCGGCUUGGUAAGUCGGGUGUGAAACCUCCAGGCUCAACCUGGAGACGCCACUCGAUACUGCCAUGGCUAGAGUCCGGUAGGGGCCCACGGAAUUCCUGGUGUAGCGGUGAAAUGCGCAGAUAUCAGGAGGAACACCGGUGGCGAAGGCGGUGGGCUGGGCCGGAACUGACGCUGAGGAGCGAAAGCGUGGGGAGCGAACAGG